rnacentral:rRNA from 1 species
AGUGAACGCUGGCGGCGUGCCUAAUACAUGCAAGUCGAACGGAGAUUAAGUAGCUUGCUAUUUAAUCUUAGUGGCGCACGGGUGAGUAAUAUAUAGCUAACUUGCCCAUUACUGAGGGACAACAGUUGGAAACGACUGCUAAUACCUUAUACUCCGUAUCUAUAUAAGUAGAUACGGGAAAGUUUUUCGGUAAUGGAUAGGGCUAUAUCGUAUCAGCUAGUUGGUAAGGUAAUGGCUUACCAAGGCUAUGACGCGUAACUGGUCUGAGAGGAUGAUCAGUCACACUGGAACUGAGAAGCGGUACAGACUCCUACGGGAGGCAGCAGUAUGGAAUAUUGCUCCACGGGGGAAACCCUGAAGCAGCACCGCCGCGUGGAGGAUGACACUUUUCGGAGCGUAAACUCCUUUUCUUGGGAAAGAAUUAUGACGGUACCCAAGGAAUAAGCACCGGCUAACUCCGUG